UUGAGGAGAUUAUUUAGUAUGCAGAAUUUCAUUUAGUCCUACCAGGUUUUAUUUAUUUAUUUUAUUAUUUUUAUUUAUUUAUUUUUUGAGAUGGAGUCUCGCUCUGUUGCCCAGGCUGGAGUGCAGUGGCGAGAUCUCGGCUCACUGCAAGCUCUGCCUUCCGGGUUCAUGCCAUUCUCCUGCCUCAGCCUCCCAAGUAGCUGGGACUACAGGUGCCUGCCACCACACCCAGCUAAUAUUUUUGUAUUUUUAGUAGAGACGGGAUUUCACCGUGGCCUACCCUGCCUCAUUUUUGAGGCACCCUACCCUGCCUCAUUUUUGCUUGAAGCAAGAGGUCACAGAUUGUCCCUAAGGCUUCUUCCCAGGAACCUUCUCCUCCAAACUUCUUCUAACCACUGCCUUCUCCCAUUCACAGGAAACAGGGGUUGUUAUUCCCUCACUUACACCAGAUGCCUCAUUCCCAUCUGCACCAUGGGACCAGUUCCUGCCCUGUAAAGGCGUUUAAAGAACCUCCCCAGACCCAGACUGGCAACUUGACAAGCCUUUGGCACAAGUGUGGACAUGUUUGGAGCAAAGAAGGCUGAAGGACAAAUAUGCGCCAUCUUUUGCUCUCUGGGAGACCAGAAUGUGGCUAUCAUGGAGCCCUUCGAUUUUAACAGAGAUCCUUUCUCUAUAACUAAUUCAACGCAUGGCUAUAUGGGUAAUUUUGAACAAGUGGAUCUUUCUCCAACCUGAAAGGCUGCCAGGACAAAGAGGGAGUGAGAAAA